UCAAAUUUUAAAAUAAACUUAGGUGACUCUUCAUUUUUUUCAAUAACAGAGAAUUUGACACGUUACUUCUCUGCUUCUUCUUCUUCUUCUCUUUCCUUUCGUUUUAUUGUCUUUUCUCUUUUUUGUAAAAACUUUUUGUAUCGUUUUCUUUCUUUCAGUUACUCAGUGAAUUUGUACUUCAUUAGGUUUCACAAUAUUGCAAAGGUGAAUCAUAAAUUUCAGGUUUCACAUUCAAUGGCAAAGCAAGAAAAAUAGAUCGAAGACAUCCACCCAUUAAUGGAAAGCAAAAGUAAGAGUUGUAGAAAAAGGAUUUGCCAAAUCUGCCCGUUUUGGUACAAAAAGAUAUCAAAGUUUAGUCUUAUGCGACUCAGGUUAGUUGAAUAAUUUAGCUACCAUGUGAUUUUUUUAAAAUUACUCCUAUAUAUCAUUACGAUAAUAAUUUUAUAUAAUGUUACUUACUUUUAUAGGCCACACAAAUACAAGCCACCGUCUAUGAUGAUGACAUUAAAAAAUUUGAGAAAAAGCUAAUCAUCUAUAAAAAAAAAUACUACAUCUCAAAUGCAAAUGUCAAAAAAAUCUCACCUCAAUAUUAAGUGGUACCAAAUCAAUAUGAAUGGAUAAUCAACAAAUAUACUUUAGUUGAUGAGAUUGAAGACAACACAAUGGAAGCAUUAUCAUAUUACAUUUUCACUGAUUUGUUGACU